GCUGGAUACGGUCCGUGAGUCGAGUCGAAUUUGAAUAAGUAUAUCAUAUAAUCGGUCGUUAUGUGUGGAUCGUUGAUAUGUUUAACCUAAUUAAAUACAGUUAUUCUAUUGCUAGAUACAAGAAAAUAAGAACGGACAUUUGAAAUAAUUAAUUAGCUACCAUAACACCCUUUUCGAUGCAGGCACGGAGACACAUUCUCCCUAUUCUACCGAAUCCGUUAAUUCCUACAACUGCCAUAACUCCAAAAUCGAAUUGUUAAUAAAAUUUAAUACCCGAUUCUGUCAAUUUUUGACGUUUCAUACAACAUUUAUGUUGUAUUACUGGUAUUUUAAUUCUCGCAAACGUCAGAAAAUCAAUAGCGCGAAUUUGUAUGCAAAAUUCUCGAAGUAUGAUAUUUAACAAUGCGAUAUGAUAAUAAUAAGGCAAAUUAUAAUUGUACGGAAUGAUAUUAAAUAAAUAAGAAUUUCGUAUGAGGAUUAGAGUAAUCCUUAUACGAACGCGAGUGUCGAGUACUUACAAUGUUAUUAUUUCUUCUGAUACGAUGAUCUAUUAUUAAUAUAUUACACUUCUUACAAGAAUGAACUAUAUAGCUUGAUAUUGAACAGUAAAUAUGAAUGUCCUUAAUGGAUGGAGCCUAUCUUGCUAUAUCAUUCGGUGAACAGUUCUAUCUCUACAGUCGAGGGAGUUAAUUCAAACGGAAAGGAAGAGUUAUCGAAAUGAACAUUAAUAUCGAUUACGAGAAUAAUACCUAUUUAAAAGAGUUUGAAGAAAGCAAUAAGUAAUAUGUUAAUAACGCGAACUAUAUAAAUUGAUACUGGCAUCAAAAAGCAAUGACUGUAAUAAUAGAAAGCAAACACUUCCAACGUGAAAUGAUCAAGAGCAACGAUUUUACAACUUACUGCCCGAAAAUGGAUACUAUUAAUUUAGAUAUAGCAUUCUAUAUUAUCGUGGAAACAUUACGAGAUAUCAAUUUUAUAAUGCGUGCGAAACGAAUAUGGUAUAAACGAGCAGAUAUCGAAUUUAUUCAAAUUAUUACGGAUAAAGAGUGAUCGGUAAUAUUUAUUUCUCAAAUGUAAAAAGGUACAUACUAGUGUCGGACAAUAAUUAAUAUCAUUAGAAAUUGAUAAAUAUCAUUUGAAUACGGAAGAAUUAUAAUAAGCCGUAAUUCAUUUCGUACAUCAUAUAAAUUACGUUAUAUUUCAAUGAUUUGAUUAGAGACGUCGAGCAUGUAUUUAAAUUUAUAUUAUGGGAGAUAGAUAUAUGUUUGACGAAAAUUCAUUUCUGAACGUUGCAAACCAUAUUUUAUGCUCUACAAUUCUUUAAUUAUGCGAAAUCGGUCAACUCAUACUGGUCCUACGUUUUUCGAUGAUGUAUCUUUCUAAAUAGGACGAACGUUUCUCUACCCGUGAAAUACGUAAUUAUAACAAAUACUCGGAAAGUAGAUAUUCCAAAAUGAUAUGUUUGACUGCUACGUACGAAAGAUCCGUAGCUAAUUUACGUUUAGUUAAAUUUGUUCAUUUUUAAUGCACGGCGAUUGAUUCAUGCGAUGUAUUCGGCGUAGGUUGUAGGUAAUCAGAUAAUUUUGCGUUCAAGGGAAAAUUGUUAAGAUAUAUAUAUAUGUACAUUUAUGUAUAAAGAUCUCGGUACGGUCUUUUACUAAUCGUUAUAUUGGUAAUUGCAAGUCAUUUCUAAGUCAGGUGUCCUUCUCGUCAUUAUUGUUGUAAUGGCGAGUGCUUUUUCGAGGAUACUCUGGCAGGAAAUUGGCUUCGCAAAAACCAUAAAAAAACCGACGUCUGUCGCACAAAUAUUUCGU